rnacentral:tRNA from 1 species
UCUAGGAUGGGGGAAUGGCAACCCACAUGACUGUUAAUCAUGCGUCGGAAACGACAUUGCAGGUUCGAGUCCUGCUCCUAGAG